GAACGCUUCUUUUUCCCCGGAGCUUGCUCCACCGGAAAAAGAAGAGUGGCGAACGGGUGAGUAACACGUGGGUAACCUGCCCAUCAGAAGGGGAUAACACUUGGAAACAGGUGCUAAUACCGUAUAACAAUCAAAACCGCAUGGUUUUGAUUUGAAAGGCGCUUUCGGGUGUCGCUGAUGGAUGGACCCGCGGUGCAUUAGCUAGUUGGUGAGGUAACGGCUCACCAAGGCCACGAUGCAUAGCCGACCUGAGAGGGUGAUCGGCCACAUUGGGACUGAGACACGGCCCAAACUCCUACGGGAGGCAGCAGUAGGGAAUCUUCGGCAAUGGACGAAAGUCUGACCGAGCAACGCCGCGUGAGUGAAGAAGGUUUUCGGAUCGUAAAACUCUGUUGUUAGAGAAGAACAAGGAUGAGAGUAACUGUUCAUCCCUUGACGGUAUCUAACCAGAAAGCCACGGCUAACUACGUGCCAGCAGCCGCGGUAAUACGUAGGUGGCAAGCGUUGUCCGGAUUUAUUGGGCGUAAAGCGAGCGCAGGCGGUUUCUUAAGUCUGAUGUGAAAGCCCCCGGCUCAACCGGGGAGGGUCAUUGGAAACUGGGAGACUUGAGUGCAGAAGAGGAGAGUGGAAUUCCAUGUGUAGCGGUGAAAUGCGUAGAUAUAUGGAGGAACACCAGUGGCGAAGGCGGCUCUCUGGUCUGUAACUGACGCUGAGGCUCGAAAGCGUGGGGAGCAAACAGGAUUAGAUACCCUGGUAGUCCACGCCGUAAACGAUGAGUGCUAAGUGUUGGAGGGUUUCCGCCCUUCAGUGCUGCAGCUAACGCAUUAAGCACUCCGCCUGGGGAGUACGACCGCAAGGUUGAAACUCAAAGGAAUUGACGGGGGCCCGCACAAGCGGUGGAGCAUGUGGUUUAAUUCGAAGCAACGCGAAGAACCUUACCAGGUCUUGACAUCCUUUGACCACUCUAGAGAUAGAGCUUCCCCUUCGGGGGCAAAGUGCCAGGUGGUGCAUGGUUGUCGUCAGCUCGUGUCGUGAGAUGUUGGGUUAAGUCCCGCAACGAGCG
rnacentral:rRNA from 1 species